rnacentral:rRNA from 1 species
GACGAACCGUGCGAACGUUGUUCGGACUCACUGGGCUUAAAGGGCGCGUAGGCGGUUCGUCAAGUCAGGGGUGAAAUCUUUCGGCUCAACCGGAAAAGUGCCCCUGAUACUGGUGAUCUCGAGGGAGGUAGGGGCCUGCGGAACUUCUGGUGGAGCGGUGAAAUGCGUUGAUAUCAGAAGGAACGACGGUGGCGAAAGCGGCGGGCUGGAGCUUUUCUGGCGCUGAGGCGCGAAAGCCAGGGGAGCACACGGG